rnacentral:rRNA from 1 species
UACGUAGGGUGCAGGCGUUAAUCGGAAUUACUGGGCGUAAAGCGCGCGCAGGCGGUUUCUUAAGUCAGAUGUGAAAGCCCCGGGCUUAACCUGGGAACUGCGUUUGAAACUGGGAGACUUGAGUGUGGCAGAGGGGGGUGGAAUUCCACGUGUAGCAGUGAAAUGCGCAGAUAUCAGGAGGAACACCGGUGGCGAAGGCGACUCUUUGGUCUGUAACUGACGCUGAGGCGCGAAAGCGUGGGGAGCAAACAGG